AAAAUAAAAUUUGAUUUUAAAAAAAUUUAAUUUUUAAACUAGGAUUAGAUACCCUAUUAUUUUAAGCUUAAUGUUGGUAGUAAGUAAAAUUUAUGAAAUCAUAAAAUUUUGGCGGUAUUUUAAGCUUGUUAGAGGAAUUUGCUCUAUAAUGGAUACAACGCCUAUAUCUUACUUAAUUUUGUAAUUAAAGUCAGUUUGUAUACCACUAUAUUUAAUUAUAUUGAAUAAUUAUAUUUAAGAUUUUUAUAUUAAUAUAUAUUAAGUCAAGGUGCAACAAAUAAUUA
rnacentral:rRNA from 1 species